UUUUAUGGAGAGUUUGAUCCUGGCUCAGGAUGAACGCUGGCGGCGUGCCUAAUACAUGCAAGUCGAGCGAACGGACGAGAAGCUUGCUUCUCUGAUGUUAGCGGCGGACGGGUGAGUAACACGUGGAUAACCUACCUAUAAGACUGGGAUAACUUCGGGAAACCGGAGCUAAUACC
rnacentral:rRNA from 1 species